GGAGAGGUGCCAGAGUGGUCCAAUGGAACGGCCUGGAGUGCCGUGCCCCGUAAGGGGCUCGCGGGUUCGAAUCCCGCCCUCUCCG
rnacentral:tRNA from 2 species